CUAACUCGGCCUGGGCUUGCACCAGCUGUUCCUCCAGCACUUUUUGAUGUUUCUGCUCUUUCUCCUCAGAUCUGAGAAGGAAAGCACACAUUUUAAUUACUUGACAGGAUUCAUAUGUGCUUGAGUGAUGGAUAUUAUGCUUUGGUCUGCUUGUACGUGUUUAAAGGAGAGAGGCUCCACCUGCACUUUGAGGACCAGUUCAGCAUUCUGGGAUGUCAGUUCCUCCACUUUUCUACGAAGCUGCUCAACCAUGGCAGGAUUCCCCUGAGAGGCGCUCUCAUCCCGGUCAGCCGGCGAAUCAGCAUCUAGUCCUCGUGAUCGCCUAGACAGCAACUUCUCUGCUCCUGAUGAUAUACAUAUAAGAAUGUUCAUUAAUGUCGACUUAUUAUGGGAUGUGACCUCUAUAAGGGUCUUUCCAUCCAAACUACAAUACUUUUUACAGUAAGUGUUCUUGGCUUACCUGGGAAGUCCAGCAUGUCAUCUGAGUCUUCCGCAUCUUCCGAGUCACAGGUGACACCGCUCACCUGGGCCGCUCUCAACUCCUCCAGAUCAGCCAGCAGCCGGUCACGCUCUGCCUCAGCCUCGCUCAGACGCUCUCUCAGAGAGUUUAGCUGAAGAACAAUUGUGAUUACUGCUAUAAAGUGACAAAAUCAAAUUUAAACUGUAUUCAAAUCUAGGUUGCAAAAAUUGCAGACGUCAUAUAAAAUGAAUGUUUUGAUUUAUUGGGGGGACUCCUGAGGUUGACAAUCAGCAUUUUCUGAAAGGUAAAGCAUCACCUUUAGUGAAACGUGAAUUUUCAAGGGUUUCAAAUCUCAUAUUGUUCCUUGUCAGUGCCAAUAAGUUUAUUAUAUUUAAAGAAGUGCAGUACCUCCUCCAGGGCAGUGGUGGCACUACUCUGCUGCUGCUCCAGAACCUUAAUUUUCUGCAGCAGGCGUCCUCUCUCCAGCCUGAGCUUACGGAUCUCUUCAAAGACCUCCUCAUCCUCUGUCUGACACACAAACACACAAUGCAAUUCAUUUUGAGAAAUAUUGAAUCUGUUUUUGUGUAAGUUAGAUGAGUAAAUGCUCACAUUUAGACUAGAACUACAAUAACCAUCAUGUUCACACAGCGCCUCUGCACUUACUCACGAUUUCUCUCAACAUGAGGAAAAGAUGCCAGUUAAUAAAUGGGAGAACAAAGUAACUUGCCUUACUUAUUUGAAAAAGUAACUCAGAUACUUUGUUGUAAAAAUAAUGCGUUACUUUACUCAUUAUCUGAAAAAAGUAAUCUGAUUACGAAACUCGCAUUACUUGUUAUGCGUUACCCCCAACACUGAUUGUAAUAUACUGUUGACUAUGGGUUAUGUUGGAACAAUCAGGGCUACAAUUCAUUAAAAUCAUACUUUUUUUA